rnacentral:lncRNA from 1 species
GCCCAUGUGUGAGUGAACCUAAAACAGAAUCAUGAUCAGUCACUAAGUCAUUCAAGGCCAGAGCAAAAACAAACUCUUACAAAAAUACAAUGAAGCUCAAUUCACAAAUCCGUACCUCAAAAGCAUAAACAUGUUUUGGUACAAAGGCCAACUGAUGUUCACAUACAGCUCCUGCUAUAAGAAAAAUCAGUAAGAUAUUAGCAAACUUGAAAACUCAGAACCUCAAACUUAUGGUAGAGUUAAGUAGAGGCCUUCUCAGAAACAAGCCAUACACAAUACUACUCAAUAGAAUCAGAAUACCAAAACAAAUAGAGUUUCAUAGAAAUCCAAACCAAGAGAUAUAACAGUAGGAAAAUGAUAAGAAUAGGGAUAUAUAAUCCGACAUACAUCCAUCAAUACAACCGAAAACAAACUGCAGACAUACAUUGGCAAGAGACCUAACAUGUCCAAACUCAGCAUUCAAAGAAGCAGAAUGAUAGACAUAAAUAUACAAACCAAUGUCACUUGUAUCAAUAAGCAAUAACCAAACAAAUCCAGCGUAAUCAACUGAAAUAGCCAAAUAGGAACACAAAUACACAUCUAUGCCUACCAGAGAUAAAGAGAAUAACAUCAACAAAAGUUGUGUUCGGAUGGAGAGAGAGAGAGAGAUAGACUCACAGAAGUCAUGUUACCCCUCCCGUUCAGUCCUACCGAAGACGUCUCCCACCGCCGCCGUCCAUGAGAAUAAAGGGCUUCUCUGUCACAGGAAUAAUUCACCCAAUAAUGCAGAGAUUGAUUAAACCCUUAAUCGAUUUCAGUAUAAAGACAUCAAUUACCCGAAACAUAAGAGAAUUAGU